GAUGAACGCUAGCGACAGGCUUAACACAUGCAAGUCGAGGGGCAGCGGGGGAGUAGCAAUACUCCCGCCGGCGACCGGCGCACGGGUGAGUAACACGUAUGAAACCUGCCCGUAGCAGGGGGAUAAGCGGAAGAAAUUCCGUCUAAUACCGCGUAACAACCCUUGGAGGCAUCUCCCCGGGGUUUAAAGGAAGCGAUUCCGGCUACGGAUGGUCAUGCGUCGCAUUAGCUAGUUGGCGGGGUAACGGCCCACCAAGGCGACGAUGCGUAGGGGUUCUGAGAGGAAGGUCCCCCACAUUGGAACUGAGACACGGUCCAA
rnacentral:rRNA from 1 species